AGGGUCUGAAAAUAACUUUAAUGCCAUGGAUCCUUCAGAGGUCCAUUCAUGUAGAAUACUCAAUUUUUUCCAAUUAUUACCGUUUGCCUCCUUGUACAGAACAUCCUGCAACAUUUGCCAAGUACCUUUUAGAAUCACAGUCAAAGACUAAAAGGGAACCUCAAUGAUUUUUGGCUCAUGUACAUAGUGUCUUCAGUAGCAGCUUGCGGCAUUGAUGUGCCCCAAUGGAAUGUUGUUUCCGGAAAGAGGGUACUAUUUCCUCGCUUAGAAAAUAAAGGAUGAAAUGAACUACACUAUUGGAGCUACUAUAAAGAUGAAAGAAGAUGAAAGUUUUCAGUAGGAUUGUUGCCAUGUAGUAAACCCCUUAUAAAUAGUAUGUAUAAUAAUUUGUCACAUGCUGUUAGGUUAAGCCAUCAACAACAAACAUGGCAAUAAUUCAAGUUCAAAAAUACAGACGGGUUUGAAUUAACAUUGCACAAUGAUUUGUUUGUGUUUUCUUGUUUUUCCAAAUUCAGUGUUAUAUUCUACUUUCAUAUUUUGUGAGCAUUUAUUAACUGAACGACUGCCACAUGCAUGGCAGUGUGCUAAAUAUUUGAGUGCAUUAUGAUUUCACCCAUUAUGGGGUUUAAAUCCAUCUGAAAAGUAAAGAUUAAGACCCAUGAAUCUGUGCAUAAUUCAAAUGAUACUUAUUCACGUGUAUUGUGUGGUAGAGAAAAUGAAUGUAUAGGAAAGAAAGAGAAUGAAAGUGAAUGAGGAGGAAAAUUAAAUACAGUCAGGAAAGGCUUGAUAAAGGACUUAAGAACUUGAAUAUGAUUGUGAAACAUAGUUAUAAUUUCUAAGAACAGCUGAGGAAAAAAGCUUAAUUUGUAUAGUUUAUGAAGGAAUGCAUAUGUUUGUGUUUCACAGAAUUUAGAGUUAAGAAUACACACACACACUACACAGAAACUCAGAAAACCUAUGCUACUUGCUCAGGUAAUUAAUUACUAGUCAAUGGUAAAGUUCAAACUGAUGUCUAGGUCUCCUGCUCCUGUUCCAGUACAUUUUUACCGCAAUACAUUGAGUGAGCAAGCUUUCAAAAGCUUCUUGAAUUAUUCAUAUGGAUAUGGAAAAUCCUAUCUUACAACAUAAGGC
rnacentral:lncRNA from 10 species